CGACAGGCGUAGUCGAUGGAUGACGGGUUGAUAUUCCCGUACCGGCGAAGCACCGCCCAUGCUGACGCGCGGGUGCUAACCCACGCCCAGCCGCCAUGUAGGCCGCGCCUACUCCUUUCGGGGGGUGGUGUGGUUGUGGUGGUGGGGUCUGGGGAUCCUCCGUGCAGGUAGGCAAGCGUGUUAACAGGGGUGACGCACAGUGGUAGCCCGGCGGACCUGAUGGCUUGGUCCGUUCAAGCGCGCAGCCCGUCCUCCAGGUAAAUCCGGGGGGCUGUCUUUGAUGACGGGGGUGAGGCGUGAUGGUGACCUCACGUUUGGUGGGGGAUAACAGGGUGAUCCUGGGGUGCCGAGAAAAGCCUCGACGCGAUGGUGCCAGCCGCCCGUACCCUAAACCGACACAGGUGGUCGGGCAGAGUAUGCCUAGGCGCACGAGUGAAUCAUGGUUAAGGAACUCGGCAAAAUGCCCCCGUAACUUCGGGAGAAGGGGGGCCCGAACCCUGAAACGGCUGGCCCGUUAGGGGGGUGGGCCGCAGAGAGCAGGGGGGAGCGACUGUUUACUAAAAACACAGGUCCGUGCGAAGCCGUAAGGCGAUGUAUACGGACUGACGCCUGCCCGGUGCUGGAAGGUUAAGAGGAACCAUCAACCCUCGGGUGAAGUGGUGAAUUUAAGCCCCAGUAAACGGCGGUGGUAACUAUAACCAUCCUAAGGUAGCGAAAUUCCUUGUCGGGUAAGUUCCGACCUGCACGAAUGGCGUAACGACUUCCCCGCUGUCUCAACCAUGAGCUCGGCGAAAUUGCAGUACGAGUAAAGAUGCUCGUUUCGCGCAGAAGGACGGAAAGACCCCGGGACCUUUACUACAGCUUGGUAUUGGCGCCCGCUAUAGCUUGUGCAGGAUAGGUGGGAGACUGUGAAGCCGUUACGCCAGUGGCGGUGGAGUCGUCCUUGAAAUACCACUCUGGUUAUGGCGUGCGCCUGAACCUGGGCCCGUGAUCCGGGUUAGGGACAGUGCCUGGUGGGUAGUUUAACUGGGGCGGUUGCCUCCUAAAGUGUAACGGAGGCGCUCAAAGGUUCCCUCAGCCUGGUCGGUAACCAGGUGUUGAGUGUAAGUGCACAAGGGAGCUUGACUGUGAGACUGACGGGUCGAGCAGGUACGAAAGUAGGAACUAGUGAUCCGGCGAUCCCGUGUGGGUGGGUCGUCGCUCAACGGAUAAAAGGUACCCCGGGGAUAACAGGCUGAUCCUGCCCAAGAGUCCAUAUCGACGGCAUGGUUUGGCACCUCGAUGUCGGCUCGUCGCAUCCUGGGGCUGGAGCAGGUCCCAAGGGUUGGGCUGUUCGCCCAUUAAAGCGGUACGCGAGCUGGGUUUAGAACGUCGUGAGACAGUUCGGUCCCUAUCCUCUGCGCGCGUAGGAGACUUGAGAAGGCCUGUCCCUAGUACGAGAGGACCGGGACGGACGAACCUCUGGUGUGCCAGUUGUCCCGCCCGGGGCACGGCUGGUUGGCUACGUUCGGGACGGGUAACCGCUGAAAGCAUCUAAGCGGGAAACCAUCUUCAAGAUAAGGUCUCCGCAAGAAGGACUUGUCCUUUUUGGUAGGCCCCCAGCAGACUACUGGGUUGAUAGGCCAGGAGUGGAAGACCGGCAACGGUUUAUGAGCUGACUGGUACUAAUAGGCCGACACAAACAACAA
rnacentral:rRNA from 1 species